rnacentral:rRNA from 1 species
UGGGGAAUAUUGGACAAUGGGGGCAACCCUGAUCCAGCAAUGCCGCGUGUGUGAAGAAGGUCUUCGGAUUGUAAAGCACUUUCGACGGGGACGAUGAUGACGGUACCCGUAGAAGAAGCCCCGGCUAACUUCGUGCCAGCAGCCGCGGUAAUACGAAGGGGGCUAGCGUUGCUCGGAAUGACUGGGCGUAAAGGGCGUGUAGGCGGUUUAUACAGUCAGAUGUGAAAUCCCUGGGCUUAACCUGGGAGCUGCAUUUGAUACGUGUAGACUAGAGUGUGAGAGAGGGUUGUGGAAUUCCCAGUGUAGAGGUGAAAUUCGUAGAUAUUGGGAAGAACACCGGUGGCGAAGGCGGCAACCUGGCUCAUUACUGACGCUGAGGCGCGAAAGCGUG